UCAUCAGAUGCCAUAACACUCUACUGCAAUAACAAAGGCACCAUAGCACUAGCUAAGGAGCCAAAGGUCUCAUCAGAAACUGUUGCCCAAGGUGACAAGCCAAGAGGGGGGGGGUGAAUUGGUUUCUCUUGAUUUUUACUAUCUUAUUUAUGUCAAUUGAUGAGUUAGUGGAAUUUAACAAAGCACAAUACAAACACACAAGAAGUAUAGUGGUUCGGUGCUCUCCUAAG
rnacentral:lncRNA from 1 species